rnacentral:rRNA from 1 species
UUGGAGGGCAAGUCUGGUGCCAGCAGCCGCGGUAAUUCCAGCUCCAAUAGCGUAUAUUAAAGUUGUUGCAGUUAAAAAGCUCGUAGUUGAAUUUCGGGGUCAGUAGGUCGGUCGUGCCACUGGUAUGAACUGGUUUUACUGAUUCCUCCCUCUUGAAGAACUGUAAUGCCAUUAAUUUGGUGUUGCAGGGAAUCAGGACUGUUACUUUGAAAAAAUUAGAGUGUUUAAAGCAGGCUUUAGCUUGAAUACAUUAGCAUGGAAUAAUGAAAUAGGACGUUUGAUCCUAUUUUGUUGGUUUCUAGGAUUGACGUAAUGAUUAAUAGGGAUAGUUGGGGGCAUUAGUAUUCAAUUGUCAGAGGUGAAAUUCUUGGAUUUAUUGAAGACUAACUACUGCGAAAGCAUUUGCCAAGGAUGUUUUCAUUAAUCAAGAACGAAAGUUAGGGGAUCGAAGACGAUCAGGUACCGUCGUAGUCUUAACCAUAAACUAUGCCGACUAGGGAUCGGAUGAUGUUAAUUUUUUAAUGACUCAUUCGGCGCCUUACGGGAAAC